rnacentral:piRNA from 1 species
UUCUCAGUUGAGGGUCCCCCACUU